GACGAACGCUGGCGGCGUGCUUAACACAUGCAAGUCGAACGGAAAGGCCCUGCUUUUGUGGGGUGCUCGAGUGGCGAACGGGUGAGUAACACGUGAGUAACCUGCCCUUGACUUUGGGAUAACUUCAGGAAACUGGGGCUAAUACCGGAUAGGAGCUCCUGCUGCAUGGUGGGGGUUGGAAAGUUUCGGCGGUUGGGGAUGGACUCGCGGCUUAUCAGCUUGUUGGUGGGGUAGUGGCUUACCAAGGCUUUGACGGGUAGCCGGCCUGAGAGGGUGACCGGCCACAUUGGGCCUGAGAUACGGCCCAGACUCCUACGGGAGGCAACAGUGGGAAAUAUUGCACAAUGGGCGGACGCCUGAUGCAGCAACGCCGCGUGCGGGAUGACGGCCUUCGGGUUGUAAACCGCUUUCGCCUGUGACGAAGCGUGAGUGACGGUAAUGGGUAAAGAAGCACCGGCUAACUACGUG
rnacentral:rRNA from 1 species